CAGUCAUCUCGUUCUUCUUCCACAAUCGCUUCGGAGGCAAACACGACACGCUGAAAAUUUUGGUUGUGUGUAUAUGCACAAGAUUUGGCGGGGGCAGAGAGUGGGUGAGCAGGAGAGUUGAGUCACUUCGCCCGUUGCCGCUAGGUGCAGUGAAUAACACCCUGCCAAAUUAUUCUUUUUUCUUUUUUCUUGUUACUAAUACUCGUCUUUUUUGUGAUUUUUUUUAUAAAAAAUUUA